UGAAUACGAGACGCUACGGCGUCGAAGCAGUCUAUGUCAUACUUCCAAGAAAAGCUUGCACUGUCAUAAACAAAUAAUGCCUGUACCAUAACCGACACAGGUGGGUAGGUAGAGUAUACUAAGGGGCGCGAGAUAACUCUCUCUAAGGAACUCGGCAAAAUGACUCCGUAACUUCGGGAGAAGGAGUGCCUUAUUUAUAAGGUUGCAAUAACAAGAUCCAAGCAACUGUUUAUCAAAAACACAGGUCUCCGCUAAGUCGUAAGACGAUGUAUGGGGGCUGACGCCUGCCCAGUGCCAGAAGGUUAAAGAAGUUGGUUAGCAUUAGCGAAGCUGAUAACUGAAGCCCUGGUGAACGGCGGCCGUAACUAUAACGGUCCUAAGGUAGCGAAAUUCCUUGUCGGGUAAGUUCCGACCCGCACGAAAGGCGUAAUGAUUUGGAUACUGUCUCGGAGAGGGGCUCGGUGAAAUAGACUUGUCUGUGAAGAUGCAGACUACCUGCACCAGGACAGAAAGACCCUAUGAAGCUUUACUGUAACUUGAAAUUGAAAUUGGACUUUAUUUGCGCAGUAUAGGUGGGAGGCGUUGAAAAUAUUCUUGCGGGAAUAUCGGAGCCAUCAGUGAGAUACCACUCUUGUAAUGUUAGAUUUCUAACUUUGCAUCAUUAUCUGGUCAAAGAACAGUUUCAGGCGGGCAGUUUGACUGGGGCGGUCGCCUCCCAAACGGUAACGGAGGCGCACAAAGGUUUCCUCUGAACGGGUAGAAAUCGUAUCUAGAGUGUAAAGGCAUAAGGAAGCUUGACUGUGAGACCUACAAGUCGAGCAGGGACGAAAGUCGGUCUUAGUGAUCUGACGGUGCUGAGUGGAAAGGCCGUCACUCAACGGAUAAAAGUUACUCUAGGAUAACAGGCUGAUCUCCCCCAAGAGUUCACAUCGACGGGGAGGUUUGGCACCUCGAUGUCGGCUCAUCGCAUCCUGGGGCGGUAGUACGUCCCAAGGGUUGGGCUGUUCGCCCAUGAAAGCGGUACGCGAGCUGGGUUCAGAACGUCGUGAGACAGUUCGGUCCAUAUCCGGUGUAGGCGUUAGAAUAUUGAGAGGAGCCUUCUUUAGUACGAGAGGACCGAGAAGGACAUACCUCUGGUGUACCAGUUAUCGUGCCAACGGUAAACGCUGGGUAGCUAUGUAUGGAGAGGAUAACCGCUGAAAGCAUCUAAGUGGGAAGCCCACCUCAAGAUAAGUAUUCUC
rnacentral:rRNA from 1 species